CCAGACUCCUACGGGAGGCAGCAGUGGGGAAUAUUGGGCAAUGGAGGAAACUCUUACCCAGCAAUGCCGCGUGAAUGAAGAAGGUCCUCGGAUUGUAAAGUUCUUUAAUUGGGGACGAAAAAAAUGACGGUACCCAAGGAAUAAGCCCCGGCUAACUACGUGCCAGCAGCCGCGGUAAUACGUAGGGGGCAAGCGUUGUCCGGAAUUACUGGGCGUAAAGAGAGCGUAGGCGGCACUACAAGUCUCAUGUGAAAUACCCGGGCUUAACUUGGGGGUUGCAUGGGAAACUGUAGAGCUUGAGUACAGGAGAGGCAAGCGGAAUUCCUAGUGUAGCGGUGAAAUGCAUAGAUAUUAGGAGGAACACCAGUGGCGAAGGCGGCUUGCUGGACUGAAACUGACGCUGAGGCUCGAAAGCGUGGGGAGCAAACAGGAUUAGAUACCCUAGUA
rnacentral:rRNA from 1 species